rnacentral:rRNA from 1 species
UACGUAGGGUGCGAGCGUUAAUCGGAAUUACUGGGCGUAAAGCGUGCGCAGGCGGCUGUGCAAGACAGGUGGGAAAUCCCCGGGCUUAACCUGGGAACUGCACUUGUGACUGCAUGGCUGGAGUACGGCAGAGGGGGAUGGAAUUCCGCGUGUAGCAGUGAAAUGCGUAGAUAUGCGGAGGAACACCGAUGGCGAAGGCAAUCCCCUGGGCCUGUACUGACGCUCAUGCACGAAAGCGUGGGGAGCAAACAGG